rnacentral:rRNA from 1 species
CCUACGGGUGGCAGCAGUGGGGAAUAUUGCACAAUGGGGGAAACCCUGAUGCAGCGACGCCGCGUGAGUGAAGAAGUAUUUCGGUAUGUAAAGCUCUAUCAGCAGGGAAGAAACUGACGGUAGCUGACUAAGAAGCCCCCACUAUCUACGUGCCAGCAGCCGCGGUAAUACGUAGGGGGCAAGCGUUUUCCGGAUUUACUGGGUGUAAAGGGAGCGUAGACGGCCAGACAAGUCAGAAGUGAAAGCCCGGGGCUCAACCCUGGGACUGCUUUGGAAACUGCCGAACUGGAGUGCAGGAGAGGUAAGCGGAAUUCCUAGUGUAGCGGUGAAAUGCGUAGAUAUUAGGAGGAACACCAGUGGCGAAGGCGGCUUACUGGACUGUAACUGACGUUGAGGCUCGAAAGCGUGGGGAGCAAACAGGAUUAGAUACCCCUGUAGUC